UGACAGUACCUGGUAAAGAAACCCCGGCUAACUCCGUGCCAGCAGCCGCGGUAAUACGGAGGGGGUUAGCGUUGUUCGGAAUUACUGGGCGUAAAGCGCACGUAGGCGGACUAUUAAGUCAGGGGUGAAAUCCCGGGGCUCAACCCCGGAACUGCCUCUGAUACUGGUAGUCUUGAGUUCGAGAGAGGUGAGUGGAAUUCCGAGUGUAGAGGUGA
rnacentral:rRNA from 1 species